rnacentral:misc_RNA from 1 species
GUGAAUCAUCGAAUCUUUGAACGCACAUUGCACUCUCUGGUAUUCCGGAGAGCAUGCCUGUUUGAGGGUAAUUAAAAAGAAUCUUUAACCAAUUUUUUUGGUCAAAGGAUAUGAGUUCUCCGCGCUUAUAGCGGUAGCUUGAAAUAAAUGGUCAAGUUUCAUUUUAGUCGAGACGCGUAAUAAUAUUAUUUCUCGAAAUCUUCAUUAUGUGACUAUCAAGCUUUGAUGCAUACAUAUUUGGGUUGUAUGCGAUCAAUAUACAUACUUUGAAUAUUACCUCAAAUCUGUUAGGAUUA